rnacentral:rRNA from 1 species
AUUGAACGCUGGCGGCAGGCCUAACACAUGCAAGUCGAGCGGAGCGGCGGACGGGCGAGUAAUGCCUAGGUAUCUGCCUGGUAGUGGGGGAUAACGUCCGGCAACGGGCGCUAAUACCGCAUACUCGCUGAUGAGCCUAGGUCGGAGUAGCUAGUUGGUGGGGUAAAGGCCUACAAAGGUGACGAACCGUAACUGGUCUGAGAGGAGGAUCAGUCACACUGGAACUGAGAAACGGUCCAGACUCCUACGGGAGGCAGCAGUGGGGAAUAUUGGACAAUGGGCGAAAGCCUGAGCCAGCCAUGCCGCGUGUGUGAAGAAGGUCUUCGGAUUGUAAAGCACUUUAAGUUGGGAGGCGUUACCAACAGAAUAAGCACCGGCUAACUUCGUGCCAGCAGCCGCGGUAAUAC